AUUGAACGCUGGCGGCAUGCCUUACACAUGCAAGUCGAACGGUAACGGGCCUUCGGGUGCCGCCGAGUGGCGAACGGGUGAGUAAUACAUCGGAACGUGCCCGAUCGUGGGGGAUAACGAGGCGAAAGCUUUGCUAAUACCGCAUACGAUCUACGGAUGAAAGCAGGGGACCGCAAGGCCUUGCGCGGACGGAGCGGCCGAUGGCAGAUUAGGUAGUUGGUGGGAUAAAAGCUUACCAAGCCGACGAUCUGUAGCUGGUCUGAGAGGAUGAUCAGCCACACUGGUACUGAGACACGGCCCAGACUCCUACGGGAGGCAGCAGUGGGGAAUUUUGGACAAUGGGCGCAAGCCUGAUCCAGCCAUGCCGCGUGCAGGAUGAAGGCCUUCGGGUUGUAAACUGCUUUUGUACGGAACGAAAAGCCUUCUUUUAAUACAGGAGGGUCAUGACGGUACCGUAAGAAUAAGCACCGGCUAACUACGUG
rnacentral:rRNA from 1 species